rnacentral:rRNA from 1 species
AUUGAACGCUGGCGGCAUGCCUAACACAUGCAAGUCGAACGCGUGGCAGGCGGGUGAGUAAUGUCUGGAAACCUGCCUGAUGGCUGGGGAUAACUACUGGAAACGGUAGCUAAUCCCGCAUACCAUCGGAUGUGCCCAGAUGGGAUUAGCUAGUAGGUGGGGUAACGGCUCACCAAGGCAACGAUCCCUAGCUGGUCUGAGAGGAUGACCAGCCACACUGGAACUGAGACACGGUCCAGACUCCUACGGGAGGCAGCAGUGGGGAAUCUUGCACAAUGGGCGAAAGCCUGACGCAGCAAUGCCGCGUGUAUGAUGAAGGUCUUCGGGUCGUAAAGUACUGUUAGCGGGGAAGCGUUACCCGAAGAAGAAGCACCGGCUAACUACGUGCCAGCAGCCGCGGUAAUUC